UACGGAGGGAGCUAGCGUUGUUCGGAAUUACUGGGCGUAAAGCGCACGUAGGCGGCUUUGUAAGUUAGAGGUGAAAGCCCGGGGCUCAACUCCGGAACUGCCUUUAAAACUGCAUCGCUUGAAUCCAGGAGAGGUGAGUGGAAUUCCGAGUGUAGAGGUGAAAUUCGUAGAUAUUCGGAAGAACACCAGUGGCGAAGGCGGCUCACUGGACUGGUAUUGACGCUGAUGUGCGAAAGCGUGGGGAGCAAACAGG
rnacentral:rRNA from 1 species